UACGUAGGGUCCGAGCGUUGUCCGGAAUUACUGGGCGUAAAGAGCUCGUAGGUGGUUUGUCGCGUUGUUCGUGAAAACUCACAACUCAAUUGUGGGCGUGCGGGCGAUACGGGCAGACUUGAGUACUGCAGGGGAGACUGGAAUUCCUGGUGUAGCGGUGGAAUGCGCAGAUAUCAGGAGGAACACCGGUGGCGAAGGCGGGUCUCUGGGCAUGUCCUGACGCUGAGGAGCGAAAGUGUGGGGAGCGAACAGG
rnacentral:rRNA from 1 species